CACCCAUCUGUGGAUUUGGCAAACCAGCAGGUUGGUGGUGGACAGCUGAGGUUGAGCAUCUAACCUCAGGCGACUGGUGCGAGGACCACCAACUCGCACAAGGCUUGUCCUCAAACCCAUUCAGUGAGCUCAACAGAAAAGUGCCCAAAGUCUUUACAGACCGACAGUGAAAAAUGGAGAAAAGUGGAGGUCUCGACCAUCAGCCAGCCGGUUUGGAGCACAGCGAAGGUUGAGCAUCUCACAUCAAGCAGCUGGUUCGGUGUCCUCAAACCCAUGCUGUAAAUUCAACAGACCGAUGGGCAGAAAUGAGCACCACGGGUUCCACCAAUGAUCUGGUAAAGGGGGUGGGUUGGCGCUGCACAGCGAAGGUUGAGCAUCUCACCGCAGGAGACAGGUGCAAGGACCACCGACCCAAACCCAUGUGUAUGCUUAAAAGCCCCACUGGAUGAAAAGCGAGCAGACACCCAGCCCAGUCUAGAUGAUAUCGAUCUAAAGGAUCACACCGAUGCAAAGAUCCAGCUGCUCAUGAGCCAAAGUCAUGUGAUGCCAUGCAAGCUCGA